UAGGGAAUCUUGCGCAAUGGGCGAAAGCCUGACGCAGCCAUGCCGCGUGAAUGAUGAAGGUCUUAGGAUUGUAAAAUUCUUUCACCGGGGAAGAUAAUGACGGUACCCGGAGAAGAAGCCCCGGCUAACUUCGUGCCAGCAGCCGCGGUAAUACGAAGGGGGCUAGCGUUGCUCGGAAUUACUGGGCGUAAAGGGCGCGUAGGCGGAUAUUUAAGCUGGGGGUGAAAGCCCGGGGCUCAACCUCGGAAUAGCCUUCAAUACUGGAUAUCUUGAGUUCGGGAGAGGUGAGUGGAAUGCCGAGUGUAGAGGUGAAAUUCGUAGAUAUUCGGCGGAACACCAGUGGCGAAGGCGACUCACUGGCCCGAUACUGACGCUGAGGCGCGAAAGCGUGGGGAGCAAACAGGAUUAGAUACCCUGGUAGUCCACGCCGUAAACGAUGAGUGCUAGUUGUCGGCAUGCAUGCAUGUCGGUGACGCAGCUAACGCAUUAAGCACUCCGCCUGGGGAGUACGGUCGCAAGAUUAAAAACUUAAAUGAAUUGAC
rnacentral:rRNA from 1 species